AUUGAACGCUGGCGGCAUGCUUUACACAUGCAAGUCGAACGGUAACAGGCCGCAAGGUGCUGACGAGUGGCGAACGGGUGAGUAAUGCAUCGGAACGUGCCCAGUCGUGGGGGAUAACUACUCGAAAGAGUAGCUAAUACCGCAUACGAUCUAUGGAUGAAAGCGGGGGACCGUAAGGCCUCGCGCGAUUGGAGCGGCCGAUGUCAGAUUAGGUAGUUGGUGGGGUAAAGGCUCACCAAGCCAACGAUCUGUAGCUGGUCUGAGAGGACGACAAGCCACACUGGGACUGAGACACGGCCCAGACUCCUACGGGAGGCAGCAGUGUGGAAUUUUGGACAAUGGGCGCAAGCCUGAUCCAGCAAUGCCGCGUGCAGGAAGAAGGCCUUCGGGUUGUAAACUGCUUUUGUACGGAACGAAACGGCUCUGGUUAAUACCCGGGGCUAAUGACGGUACCGUAAGAAUAAGCACCGGCUAACUACGUG
rnacentral:rRNA from 1 species